CCCUCGCUCGCCUCCGUGGUGCCCUAGCCGCUGCCUUCUUCCUCCCACGCCCAUGCCUCCCUCUCCUCUCCCUCACCCCCUAGCGCCGCCCGCACCGGCGCCUCCCUCUCCUCCUCUCGCCCCUAGCGCCGGCACCACUGCCUCCUUCCCCGCCGCCACCCGGCCUCCUCCCCUCACGUUGCCCUCCAUCCACCCCUCCGGUCUGGCGCCGCCCAAACCCCAAUGCCGCGCCCCGGCCCUGGCUCCCACGGGAGGGAAGGAGGAAUUGCGAGGCGAAGCAAAGGCGGCAGCGUAUGGCACGCGGCGCGGGCGGUGUGGCCCAGGGGGUCGGCGCGGCCGCGGCUUCUCGUCGUCUCCGUCGUCGCCUCGGCGCCCAGCCGGCCGCCGCCGCACAUCAUGAGGUGGAAUGCCACCCAUUUCCCCGCCGUCCCCUCGGCCCAUGCUACCCCUAGCGCCACGGUCGCCAUGUCCCUGCCUUCUCCUCGACAGGAGGAAGAGCGAGGCCACAAACGGAUCUGGAGAUUGAAUCGGGCUCCAAUGGCUCCUGCGCGGCAUGAUGCCUGUUAAGGGUGGUUGCUAUCUCAGAUAUCUCCUCGUUCCUCUUCGUGUGCUGCUAGGAGCCUAUAUGUGAUGUGUACCUGUGUUGGUGCCUUUACAGAAGAUCCAUUAUGCCUUCCUCUCGGUGUGUGUUGUUGAGGCUAUCAAACAAGCCAAUGGCGUUGCAUAAAUGGUUUGUGAAGAUUGCCAUUGGAGUCUAGCUGGGGUAGUAGGCUGUCAAAAAGAUGUGGUCGCUUGUAGAACACCUUGAAGCUCCCAAAAUGCAAACACCAGGAGAUAGGGAUGUCAAACUGAAACAAAGAAGCCCAUGAUCGGUCUCAUAAUGUUACCAAUAGUACCGCCAUCAGCUGCAAAGAUGACAAGCUCAAGCAGGUCUGAUCCAGUGACAACAACAAUAGUGCAGGGUGCAUGAGCAGGCCUACAUAUUUCUCAAAAGAGCACGCCGUUGCCAACGACUGGAGAAGCGCCAGCCACCGAGUCGGACGUCCACUUCGCCAUUGCCGUCGUCCUCGCCCCGGCAGAAGCACGUUAUAUCUGUCCUUUCAUUUUUACUUUUUCUUAAAUGUGUUUAUUUGAAGGCGCACCUUUAGUUAUUAACCAAUACAUGUAUUGUUCAUGUCUUCUACUCCCUCUGUAAAGAAAUAUGUAUCUUAUAUUUGAAGGUGCAUCUUCUACUCUCUCUGUAAAGAAAUAUAAGAUAGGUAUAUAAGAUAGGUAUUUCUUUAUAGAGGGAGCACAUAGUUCUUCGAGCCCAAAAGUAUAACUAUGUAGAUGAAUUGUAUGAUGGGUUACAAACUUUACUUAUAAGACUACAUGAACUGCUAAUUGCUUCUUUUAAUAAAAGAUGAUCAACUCUAAUCUCGACCUGGUUGUCAUGUUGGGAGGUGGAUGGGAGGCCAUUCCAAAUGAUUGUUUUGGCAGAAUCGACUGACUGCGCUAGCUGGGAUUUAAUGUAUAUAUGAUAUAGGCCUGCUACCAUGUCUUUUCUCGCUGGACAUGCUUUCCGAUGGCGACAGUGAGGACUUCUACCCCGCUCCUCUCCCAGCAAGGCAUCUCUACCUCCCUCAUGCAAAGAUACCCGAAGACCGUCUUGGACUCUUCCUUCUUCAGUGUUUCCUCUUUUUGUUACACAACUUUGUGGUGCUUAGUGCAUAUAUCAUCCCCUCCUAUCAAUUCAUUCUGAAAUAAAGAGAUGGAGGGUUGUUAGUGUUUAUGGGAAAUGGUUGCAUUUUAUAGAAAAAAUGUGUCUUUGUUGACCGGUUUUGCUCGAGAUAAAAAAGUCUUUCCUACUAUUGGUGUCAAACUCUUACUUUAGACUUCACAUGAUCUAAUCAGUGUUCUAUACAUAACAUCACUUUUUUGUUUUGGCUAAUCUCUUUGUUUUCUAUAGACAUGUGUUGUCCCAAUCUGCUAAUUUUAUAUUCAGAGGUAGCAUUGAUGUAGUUGCAUCAUUCAAAAGGCCAUAUGUGUUGCUUUUGUUCUACUUCUCUUCCAUAUCCAGUUAUUUAGAAAUAGCUAUGGUAACCUUUUAGCACUUAAAUAGGAUUAGGUAUAAUGUGAAUCAUUUGCUUCAUUUGGUUGACAAAUUAUAGCUUUAGCUCUCAGGUACUGAAUGUUGGAUUGAUCCAUUUUGUUCUUUUGUGCCUGCUGCUCCUUGCUGAUUCCUGUCGUGCUGCUGCUCGCUUGGUGUGUCGGAUUGGGGGCCGUGGAUUCAAUGGCAUCGGUGUGUCGCGUGGUUUGUUAAGGUCCUCUAUUCUAGCAGUCUGUGCGCCGGAUAUGUUGUUGUGAACCUCGAUCUAUACGUGCUGGUUGGUCUGCUGGGAGUGCUCGUGGCUUUGGUCGAUUUGUCCUGAUGUGUCUUCAGUCGCCGCUCUGCAGGUUAUGUGAAAUUGGUUUUAGUUAAUGUUUCUUGUGUACUGUGGAUACUAAGGGGCAAUGGGCACAACUACAAAACUCAGAGCAGCGAAACCCACAUAUACUACCUGAAGAAGAGCUCUCUGUUCUCCUUUAGUUAUCACCUUUUAUCAUUCUUUUACUACUUACAAUAGUGUUGGGACCGGCACCCUUGCGCCAAGGCGCGAUCCCGAUCUAGUCGGAGUAGAGUGGGGUGUGGAGUAGGAGGAUUACAAGCGGAGUACGAGAUGGGGUGAACAUGGACAACAUGCAAGCUAGUCGACAUCUUUCUGGAUUAAUAUACUCUGUUUGGAGAAGUCAAGAGAAAAGGAAACCCGAGAAGUCCUGAAGACAUCUUUAGCAAACAAUAUGUUGAGUACCCAAUAUAUUACAUAGUUCAUUUAUGUGUUUUAUCCUUAUAGUAGUUUCAGGCAUAGGUCACACAAAAUACUAUUUGUAAUGCCGAAACCCUAAAAAAUACAGGAGUAAACGGCCGAGUAAACCGUAGUGGAGUAUUUUUACGCCACUAAGUUUUGAUCGGUUCUAGACGACCC